rnacentral:rRNA from 1 species
UACGGAGGGUGCAAACGUUGCUCGGAAUUACUGGGCGUAAAGCGCACGUAGGCGGCUUUGUAAGUCAGAGGUGAAAGCCCGGAGCUUAACUCCGGAAUUGCCUUUGAGACUGCAUCGCUUGAAUCCGGGAGAGGUGAGUGGAAUUCCGAGUGUAGAGGUGAAAUUCGUAGAUAUUCGGAAGAACACCAGUGGCGAAGGCGGCUCACUGGACCGGUAUUGACGCUGAGGUGCGAAAGCGUGGGGAGCAAACAGG